CUCUUUUAGUCAAUCUCUUUUGCACUCAAGACUGCUCACUGCGUCUCGGUUUCCUUCGGUACUCUCGUGUUUUCCUCUCUAAAGCCUCUCCCCGCUGCCGCUUCUUCUCCCUGGCUCUUUCCAUGGCGAUCACAACAAGUUUUUUGAAUCUGUCAAGUCCCAGCAGUUCUCCCGCCUUCAAUGCCUCAACCGCGACCCAACAAGAUUAAGGGGUGCACGGGAAAUUAAAGGCAGGCAAGAAAUUGUUGUCUUCUCCAUGGAUAUCGCCUGAGAGAUUUCAAAGAUGUUAUUUGCUCAAGCUGAUGGAAUUCUAUGGGACAUGAACAGUUCAUUUGGAGAGGGACUGUGAACUCAAGAUUUUUACGUCUGACAGUGAUGAAGGGCGUGAUACAUUCUGGCAUUCAAGUGUUCACAUUCUUGGUCAGGUACCGUUCUUCAUUUAUUUGAUUGCUUAAAUUUAGGUUUUUUGUUCUUCUUGAAUUUUGAAGCUCUUGAAUUUUAGUUGAAAGAAAGCACAGGCGACGAUUUGUUAAUAAUUUAUUAUGUUGUUUUGAGUUAGGAAUUUCUUAACAUAUAAUUAUGGGGCAAAACGGUGGCAAAUGAGUAUUUAGCUACUGGAGUAUAUUACAUGGUUGCAAAUGACUUAGUUUCCUGGACUAGGUUUGCCCUUUUUUUAAACUAAUCAUGGAAUUUCUUUGAUUUUCUUUGCUCACUGCUGCACAUGAUGUGCUCAGUUUCCGGUCUCUGAUAUAUCUAUCUUAUGUUUUGUGACUUAUAUAUAUUACGAUAAUGGUCUAGAAGUUAUUAGAGUGAAUUAUCAUGAAGUAUUAUUAGGCAGGAAAAGUUAAAAUCUGGGAAGAACCAAUAGUUUAUAGUGAUGUAAUUUCCCUUCUAAUUAAGUCAAAUAACUCGCUUAAUUGGGCUACGGGAAACAGUAAAAUACUUUAGAUGGAAGUUUGUAAUGCUUUAGAUGUUGUUGGUUUUCAGUCCAUAGUUGUCUGCUCUGGGUUUUCCCAAAUGAAAAUCAACUGGAAGUUGCUUUUGUUUAAUUUUAAGUUCUUGAACCUUUUUGUUAUAUUUUCUUGAACUUACAUAUGAUGCUGUGGAUGAACUAUGCUUUUUUUUUUUUUUUUAAUAAUUGCCUGCAUGAAGAAGCUGUUUUGGUAUUUGCCUUGAUUUAACACGAGGAUUUUCAGUCCUAUGCUCGUUGAUGGAUUAAAUGAUUAUAGCAUGGAUUGACAAGUUCAAUGAGUCGUAUACUUAUUAAUCAUGUUUCCUCCUUUCACAGAAUAACUGAGAUUCUCUAUGAUACUCAUGGUUGGAAAUUGUUGUAACCCAAGUAUAUUAACAUAUUUUGAUGGAAUGGUAGUAAAUUGGGUUUUAAAUCUCAUAUUUUGAUGUCACAAAUAAUUUCCAUUUGGGUUUAGAAGGUGGUUCACCAAAAUUGUCCAUAUUAUGUGUAAUAAGAUAAGAAAUAAUUGGACAAUUUCAAUAUAUUUCUUCAAUGAAGUAGGUAUAUAUACAGAUUAUAAGGUCUUGUUGAGGCAACUCCUAAUAAUCCUCUAUCAAUCAAUUAACCUAUGAUUAUGUAAUCUCCUAUAAUUAUGUAUAGAUUAUAUUCACAUCCUUACACUCCCCCUCAAGUUGGAUCAUAGAUAUUUAUCAUGCCCAAUUUGUUAGAAAGAUAUUCUAUUCGAGACCCAUUUAAAUCUUUGGUGAGUAGAUCACCCAAUUGCUUUCCUGUCUUCACAUAAUUGGUGGAGAUUAAAUUUUCUUGAAUCUUCUCACGGAUGAGAUAACAAUCAAACUUCAAUAUGGUUAGUCCGUUUAUGGUAUACUGGAUUGGAAACAAUGUGAAUAGCAGCCUGAUUAUCACACCAAAGUUUCGUAAGUGACGCAACAUUCAUACCAACUUCCUUCAGUAGAUGCUUUAUCCAUAGAAUCUCACAAGUAGAUUGAGCUAUGACCCUGUAUUCUGACUCGGCACUGAAUCUAGAUACCAUAUUUUGCUUCUUACUUUUCCAAGACACUAGGCUUCCUUCAACAAAUACACAGAAGCAUGUAGUCGACCUUCUAUCACUUUUGGAUCCCGCCUAGUCAACAUCAAAAAAACACUCAAGUGCAAUAUGCUCAUGAUCUCUAUAGAGUAUACCGAGUCCAAGAGUCCCUUUUAGAUAACAUAGGAUUUGUUCUAGAGCGGCCCAAUGUUUCACCAUACCGAGUCUAGGAGUAUACCUAUUAGGAGGAAUGUUACCAUCAGAUUGUAUAGCAGAAGACAUACUCGAAGAGAUCCCACCAUCAGAUAUGAUUCUAUAGAUGAGCCACUCAUCAUACUCCUCUUGAUCCGGAGAGAUUUGUACAAAAGGAUAAAAAGGAACUUGCUCAGAAAAGACUACAUCUGUUGAGAUUAGAUAUUUGUUGAGGUCCGGAGAGUAACACUGAUACCCCUUCUGAAGCCGAGAAUAUCUCAAAAAAACACACUUCAAAGCUUUAGGAUCAAGUUUAGUCAUAUGAGGUCUGACAUUCCGAAUAUAACAAGUACUGCCAAACAGUCGUGGUUCAAGAGGAAAUAAUAGCUUUUUAGGAAAGAGGACAUUAUAAGAAGUAUUACCGUUUAGUACUGCGGAGGGCAUGCGAUUAAUAAGAAAGCAUGCAGUAGAGACAGCAUCGGCGCAAAAUUGCUUAGGAACUUACAUUUGAAACAAUAGAGCUCUAGCAGUCUCAAGGAGAUGUCGAUUCUUCCUUUCAGCUAUCUCAUUUUGAGCGGAUGUAUCAACACAUGACGAUUGGUGAAGAAUACUAUGUUGAGUCAUAUAAGCCUGGAAUGAUUCUGACAUAUAUUCUUUAGCAUUGUCGUUCAGCAAAAUUUGCAUGUAAACAGUAAAUUGAGUCUUGAUUUUAGCACAGAAGGCAAAAAAAUGAGAAAACACUUCCAAACGUUGCUUCAUAAAAUAAAUCCAAGUCAUUCUAAAGUAAUCAUCCACAAAAGUGAUAAAAUAUCUGAAUCUAGUCUUAGAUUCAACCGGGCAUGGGCCUUAAACAUCUGAAUGAACUAAUUCAAAAGCAUACUCAGCUCGUUUAUUGACUCUAGGACUUAAAGAGUUUCGAUGUUGUUUUGCAAAAUGAUAUGACUCACAUUCCAAUAAAGAUAUCUUAUGAAAUUGAGGGCAUAACUUCUUCAAAACUGGUAAAGAAGGGUGUCCCAACCGACGAUGUGCUUCAAAUGGAGACACGACACUGGAGCAGACAACAAACUGAGGCACCCAUGCAUCCAAAAUGUAGAGACUCCGAGAUACAUGUCCUUUACCAAUAAUUUGUUUCGUCACAAGAUCCUGAAUGAGACAAUGAUCAGGAAAAAAGGAAACGCAACAAUUUAGGCCUUUGAUAAGUUUACUCACAUAGAUUAAAUUAAAGGUAAGAUUAGGUAAACUUAGCACAGAUGAUAGGGUAAUAGAAGGAGUAGCUUUAACAGUCCAGAACCCUCAACAUUAUAGGUUGACCCAUCAGCUAUAAUAACAGGUGUUUUAUGAGAUCGAAAGGUAGUAAAAAUAUGAGAAUUACCUAUCUUGUGAUCCGUGGCAUCAAAAUCAAUGACCCAUUUAUAUGAAGAGAAAAUAAGACACGUUUUACCUAUAUCAGCUACCGAAGACGCUGGGAUAAUUUUAAUAAUAUGGGUCUUAAUAUCAGAAACCAUUUCAACCAAAACCCUAUACUCCUGUACCUUCAAACGAAUUAAAGGAAGAUAACAAAACCUAAUCUAAUGAACCAUAUCAAAAAACGCCUCCACACAACACCCAAACAACAAACGAACCACAGAUCUGACAAGAGGGCUGCAAGACAACUUUGGCGUCCUCCUAAAGUGGAUAGUAAGAGACAAAUAUUACCCUAGAUAGGUAACACAAAAGAACAGGAGUCCUGAGCCUCCAAAAAUUUUAAACUUGACGGAAGAGAAAAAAUUAAAUCUCUACGGGGAUGACUCUGAUACCAUGUAAUAAGAUAAGAAAUAAUUGGGCAAUUUCAGUAUAUUUCUUCAAUGAAGUAAGUGAGUAUAUAUACAUAUUAUAAGGCCUCGUUGAGACAACUCCUAAUAAUCAUCAAUCAAUCAAUUAACCUAUGAUUAUGUAAUCUCCUAUAAUUAUGUACAGAUUAUGUUCACAUUCUAAAUCAUGAAAAAUGAGAAGCUAUUUGCAUCACAAGGUGGGCCUUUCAUCCUCUCGCAUGUAUCAGAUCUUUAUAUUUGAGUUGGUGCAAAUUUUCUUCUGGAUCAUUGAGGAAGAUUUUGUGAAAGUAGCCGAGUUCCUUGAUGCAGCAGCGAAGUUGUCAUUGAACAUAAAGGCAGAUACUAAAAGUUCUCACUCUCAAUUUUUAGUUUGGUAUUGCUGAGUCUACAGAAUCAAAUAUUCAAUAUUUGGUCAUUAUAAUCUAAAGCCAAAGGUACUGAUGGAAUGGAAAGCAUGUUAGAAAGAUUGUGACUCAUUCCGAGUUACUGAAGCAGCUCAGAAUUGACUGGACCAGAGCUGAUUCCAAGAAUUCCAUGUGUAUCUGUUACACAGAUGAUAAGCUUUGCAAGAAAUUCAAUCAACUCUUCGUCAAGGAAAGAAUGCCUACAGUGUGAAUGUCUUCGUGAGGCUCUGAAGGGACGCAUCAGAGUUUAAGAGAAGUUGUGUCCUCUGUUGUAGUCAAGGCAGGAAGAGUAGCUACUAAGAAGCCACUAUUCAGCCAGGCAAAGAGUUGGUAUUGUUAUUACUAUUUUAAUGAUUCCCACUUUAGCUUUCUGUUUUGCUCUAUCUUUUUCUUUUGGUAAGGAAGGGAUUUGAUAGAAAUCUAUAUUUCAAGUUGCUUCAAGUUAAAUGCUUUAUGUUGAGCUUUGGAUAAGCUUAUUAGUCUGUUUAUAUCCAGUUAGUAACUUGGCUCUUAUGGGCUCUAAUAUUUUUAUCAUCUUGAAUGGUUUCUUCAAAAUGACCUUCCUUCUUCUUCUUUUAGUAUGAGCUUAAUGAUCUGUACAUAAAUCUGUGGCCCUGUCUCAAUUUUGCCUUUUUUGCUACGAUCAAGGCCUAGCAAGUUCAAGUUUUGCAGACUUUGCAGCCAAUGUUGGUGAAGAAGCUCUAGAAAAGAUGAAAUAUCUCCAUGCUUCUAUAAAACAUUUAUACUCUUUUUAGCAAUGCAUGUGGUAGGAAGAGUAAUGUAUUCUUUACAUAAUUGAUUAUUUUUUUCCUGUUUGGAAAAUAUUCAAUGCAUAUUUCAGUGCGUAAAGUGUUAUAAAAGAACUGUAUUUACUAUUGUAAUAAUUUCUUUUAGAUAUCGUUAAGUAGUUUUAAUAUUUAAUGAUAGUAAUUGUUAGAAGUAUUUGCCAAGGACUGCAUGAUGGGAUCAAAAAAUUGUCAGUGGCUUCUCAAGAGCAUACAGUAAACUGCAAUUAUUCAUGUUACAAAAUCAAAUUGAAGGAUAUCAUGAAUUGUCAUCACAAAUGUAUAUGUACUUUUCAACUAGCACUGCUAGGUGGGUACUGGGUACUGACUUUUAUUUUAAAGUUGUUGAUAAUGUACACCAAAGUCUUGGUUAGCUUUUCUAUAUGUUUAAACUCUUAAGUUAAAUAUCUAGCAGUACUUGAGGUUAUGCAUAUACUGCAUGUGUUCUUAAAUUGGCGAGUGUAUGUUGUUUGGAGUGAAUCCCUUUUUUUUUUUAAAAAAAAAAAUUAUUGUU